UUUAAAAGAAAAGGGAGCACCACGUUAAAAAAAACAUAAAAUCAAACAAGUUUGUGAUGAUUAAAAACACGUGUAUGGUAGAAGUGUGUAAUUUCCAGACAAUGAUUCCCUUUAAAUCCAUUAACAUUGACUAGUCCCUUCACCAAGCUCUCUAUAACUGUCUGCUAAUGAUCGAACUACUAGUUCCUAUCGGUCUCCGACCAGGAAGAACAUCGGCGGGUCCCUAGCUGGGAGCCUCUAU